UAGUGGAGAUGGGGUUUCACCAUGUUGCCUAGGCUGAACUUGAACUCCUGGGGAGAAGUGAUCCACCUGCCUCAGCCACCCAAAGUGCUGGGAUUACAGAUGAUCACUGCAACUCCCAAGCCCAGAGAGCACCCGGUUCAGACGCAGAUGGAAAGAUGGUGGCUGCAGAGGAAACGAAAAUUGGAGGGUUAUGUGGAAUGACUGAGACACUGGAAAAACUGGGGAAUAUGCUCAAGACGACUAGUGAAGCUGGUUGCCAGGGUUUGUUUUGUUUUGCUUUUCAGAAUUAAUUGAAACUUGACUGUGGGUACAUUCUUCCCUGUGUGAGUGGCUUAGGGGUCAUGAUGUUGGACUCCUGGUGAAAGAAUUGCAUCUUAAUAUUCUACUUUGUUCUGCUGUCAGCAACUUUUAUAUAAUCAUAAUAAUGGAAAGACAUUGAUCAGCCUUUGACUUGUAAAAUCACCCCAUAGACAAAUCACGGAACGUAUAACUUAUUACAGUGCAAAAUGUAAAUGUGAUGAAUCUUGACAAAAUAAAAGAGGUACAUUUGAA
rnacentral:lncRNA from 1 species